UUGACUACGGGAGGCAGCAGUGAGGAAUAUUGGUCAAUAGGCGCAAGCCUGAACGAGCAAUGCCGCGUGAGUGAGGAAGGUCUUCGGAUCGUAAAGCUCUGUUGCGGGGGAAAAAGGAAGCAGAAAGGAAAUGGUCUGCUUUUGAUGGUACCCCGCCAGAAAGUCACGGCUAACUACGUGCCAGCAGCCGCGGUAAUACGUAGGUGGCGAGCGUUAUCCGGAAUGAUUGGGCGUAAAGGGUGCGCAGGCGGCGCGUCAAGUCUGAAGUAAAAGGUACAGGCUCAACCUGUGCAGGCUUUGGAAAC
rnacentral:rRNA from 1 species